UUGUGUGAAUACAUAGCACAUUCGAGGUAGACGCAGAGAACUGAAACAUCUAAGUACCUGCAGGAAGAGAAAGAAAAUUCGAUUCCCUGAGUAGCGGCGAGCGAAACGGGAAAAGCCCAAACCAGCAAGCUUGCUUGUUGGGGUUGUAGGACUCCAAUAUGGUAGUUCUUUCAGAUAGUCGAAUGACUUGGAAAAGUCAGUCAAAGAGGGUAAAAACCCCGUAGACGAAAUGUGGAAGACACCUAGGAGGAUCCUGAGUACGGCGGAACACGAGAAAUUCCGUCGGAAUCCGGGAGGACCAUCUCCCAAGGCUAAAUACUCCCUAGUGACCGAUAGUGAACCAGUACCGUGAGGGAAAGGUGAAAAGCACCCCGGAAGGGGAGUGAAAUAGAACCUGAAACCGUGUGCCUACAACAAGUCAAAGCCCGUUAAUGGGUGAUGGCGUGCCUUUUGUAGAAUGAACCGGCGAGUUACGAUUGCAUGCGAGGUUAAGUUGAAGAGACGGAGCCGCAGCGAAAGCGAGUCUGAAUAGGGCGUUUGAGUAUGUAGUCGUAGACCCGAAACCAUGUGAUCUACCCAUGUCCAGGUUGAAGGUGCGGUAAAACGCACUGGAGGACCGAACCCACGUACGUUGAAAAGUGCGGGGAUGAGGUGUGGGUAGCGGAGAAAUUCCAAACGAACUUGGAGAUAGCUGGUUCUCUCCGAAAUAGCUUUAGGGCUAGCCUCGGAAUUGAGAAUGAUGGAGGUAGAGCACUGUUUGGACUAGGGGCCCAUCUCGGGUUACCGAAUUCAGAUAAACUCCGAAUGCCAUUCAUUCAUAUCCGGGAGUCAGACUGUGAGUGAUAAGAUCCAUAGUCGAAAGGGAAACAGCCCAGACCACCAGCUAAGGUCCCAAAAUAUAUGUUAAGUGGAAAAGGAUGUGGGGUUGCACAGACAACUAGGAUGUUGGCUUAGAAGCAGCCACCAUUUAAAGAGUGCGUAAUAGCUCACUAGUCGAGUGACCCUGCGCCGAAAAUGUACCGGGGCUAAACAUAUUACCGAAGCUGUGGAGUACACCUUUAGGUGUAUUGGUAGGAGAGCGUUCUAAGGGCGUUGAAGGCAGAUCGUGAGGACUGCUGGAGCGCUUAGAAGUGAGAAUGCCGGUAUGAGUAGCGAAAGACAGGUGAGAAUCCUGUCCACCGAAUGACUAAGGUUUCCUGGGGAAGGCUCGUCCGCCCAGGGUUAGUCGGGACCUAAGCCGAGGCCGACAGGCGUAGGCGAUGGAUAACAGGUUGAUAUUCCUGUACCCGUUGUUUUUGUUUGAGCAAUGGAGGGACGCAGGAGGCUAAGGAAUGCAGACGAUCGGAAAUGUCUGUCCAAGCAGUAAGUCUGAAGAGGAGUCAAAUGCUUCUUUUCUUA
rnacentral:rRNA from 1 species